rnacentral:rRNA from 1 species
CGAAAUUCCUUGUCGGGUAAGUUCCGACCCGCACGAAAGGCGUAACGAUUUGGGCACUGUCUCAACGAGAGACUCGGUGAAAUCAUAGUACCGGUGAAGAUGCCGGUUACCCGCGACAGGACGGAAAGACCCCGUGGAGCUUUACUGUAGCCUGAUAUUGAAAUUCGGUACAGUUUGUACAGGAUAGGUAGGAGCCUUAGAAGCGUGAGCGCUAGCUUACGUGGAGGCAUUGGUGGGAUACUACCCUAAUUGUAUUGGAUUUCUAACCCGCAACUCUUAUCGAGUUGGGAGACAGUGUCAGGCGGGCAGUUUGACUGGGGCGGUCGCCUCCUAAAGAGUAACGGAGGCGCUCAAAGGUUCCCUCAGAAUGGUUGGAAAUCAUUCAUAGAGUGUAAAGGCAUAAGGGAGCUUGACUGCGAGACCUACAAGUCGAGCAGGGUCGAAAGACGGACUUAGUGAUCCGGUGGUUCCGCAUGGAAGGGCCAUCGCUCAACGGAUAAAAGCUACCCCGGGGAUAACAGGCUUAUCUCCCCCAAGAGUUCACAUCGACGGGGAGGUUUGGCACCUCGAUGUCGGCUCAUCGCAUCCUGGGGCUGUAGUCGGUCCCAAGGGUUGGGCUGUUCGCCCAUUAAAGCGGUACGCGAGCUGGGUUCAGAACGUCGUGAGACAGUUCGGUCCCUAUCCGUCGUGGGCGUAGGAAAUUUGAGAGGAGCUGUCCUUAGUACGAGAGGACCGGGAUGGACAUACCUCUGGUGUACCAGUUGUCGUGCCAACGGCAUAGCUGGGUAGCUAUGUAUGGACGGGAUAAGUGCUGAAAGCAUCUAAGCAUGAAGCCCCCCUCAAGAUGAGAUUUCCCAACUUCGGUUAUAAGAUCCCUCAAAGAUGAUGAGGUUAAUAGGUUCGAGGUGGAAGCGUAGCGAUACGUGGAGCUGACGAAUACUAAUCGAUCGAAGACUUAAUCAAUUU